rnacentral:snRNA from 1 species
UUAGCAUCUUGGCCUUUUGGCCAAGAUCAAGUGUUUUUGGCACAGGGUAGGGAAGUGUCAGGGCUGGCUCUGACCCUCCCAGUGCUGGUCUGGUAUUGCAAUAUCUCCAGACAGUGCUAGUUCC